GUAGGGCGCAAGCGUUAUCCGGAAUUAUUGGGCGUAAAGAGCUCGUAGGCGGUUUGUCGCGUCUGCCGUGAAAGUCCGGGGCUCAACUCCGGAUCUGCGGUGGGUACGGGCAGACUAGAGUGAUGUAGGGGAGACUGGAAUUCCUGGUGUAGCGGUGAAAUGCGCAGAUAUCAGGAGGAACACCGAUGGCGAAGGCAGGUCUCUGGGCAUUAACUGACGCUGAGGAGCGAAAGCAUGGGGAGCGAACAGGAUUAGAUACCCUGGUAGUCCAUGCCGUAAACGUUGGGCACUAGGUGUGGGGGACAUUCCACGUUUUCCGCGCCGUGGCUAACGCAUUAAGUGCCCCGCCUGGGGAGUACGGCCGCAAGGCUA
rnacentral:rRNA from 1 species